GCCGCGCUCCAGGAGACAGGGAACCAGGUGGGUAAGUGCGUAGGUAGGGCGGAUGGCAAAUACUGCGGGCAGCGUGGAAAACUUUUCUGCAGGCGAAGCACAAGACGAAGCGGGUGAUGGUGGAAUUAGGGCCUGGUGUGUGCACGUUGGUGAUCGUGAUGGCGAAGGAAGAUUUGCUGCAUCAUCUAACUCUGCUUGUGCGCUUCUCGACCUUCGACCUCCGUCUCUGUGGGUAAUGUCCCUCCCCUCACUUUCACCCUCCUGCGCCGUCGGCGUCGGCGUAACACCAUGUCCAAUUUUUUCUGCCGAGGUUUACAGCAGACAUGAGAUUACUUUCAAGAGCAGAUUUGAUGCUUGCUACACCUAUGAAGUUUGUGAGCAUGCGUGCGACAAAUAAAUUGACUAGCUGAUGGUGUAUCCAUCACCGGGCUAAAUUGUACCAGGGUUUUUUGAGAAAAAGUUCUUUGUGAUCGGUCUGGCUAGAUUGUAGACGGGUGACAACUAAAUCUUAUGAAAGUGAGAUCUUCUAUGAUGUUUUGCAGCGUCUAAAUGGCACCUUUAGAUCUGCUGCUCUUCACAUAACCUUCGUCUGUUGCAGUAUCAAUUUGGCGAUGGAUGUUUGUAUACUAUUUUUUAGGCUUAGUGGUACUAUCUGUAAUGUUUGGCAAGUACGAUUGAUAGACACAGUCGGAACUGGUUAAAAUGAUACUACGAGUUCGGACACCUUUUUCAAUCGAGAAGAUAUUCGAUCUAAAUUGGUGACGUACUGUUUCGGACGACUGGUACAUUGAGAACAGCGAUAACGGAGCAAACCAUUGAGAGUGGCGAGCUCGUCUUCUACAGCACGGUCCAUUUUGGCUUUGCUCUUCCAGUCAUGACCUCCUGCAGCAAUCAAGGGCGUGAACUUUGAGCCACCUAAUCGCUAACCUACACUUAGCAAUCCACUAUCUUAAUUUCUUGCCUCAACUUAUGAUUGAUAGAUGUGCGAAAAAAUAACGGAGGGUACUACCGGACAGUGGGACGACCACAUUGCCUGGAGGCGCAUCGUUGCAUACAUGACUUUUCAACACUUGAGGAUACAGCACAUCUAAAUUAAAGGAAAACCACGUAGUGACAGUCAUUUAAGAACCCUUUCGAAUUUGAACUGCUGCCUAAUCCUGGCUGUAAGAGGGUGGAGCGCACUUAUGGCAGGUUCAUGUCACAUACAGAUAGGUCCACCACCUGUCCUACCUGACCCAAAAUUUAGAAUCUCAUUGAUGAACAGUAGGUCACAAGAGUAGGUGACAGCAAAUAAGAUUGGCAAAGUUGAACAAUUUGGUAGAUUUCCAGAAGUUUUCACAAGCAGACCACAAUUUUUUCGGAUCCAGAAGAUGAUUAAAUCCCAAUCUUCAGCACGUAUCCCUACAAAUGCUGUAAGAUAUGAUAACCUACGCUCUCGGAAAUUUAUUUGAAAAAGCCCAAUA